GUUGGGGACUGUCUAUAUGUGUAUGACAGGUGUAUGCAUGAUUGACAAGUGAAAAUAUCAAACAGCAGUUCCAUAUAUGGAUCUGGAGUUCAGAAGAAAUAUCUGGGGGAAACAGUUUUUUUUUGUAGUUUUUUUCUUAUUCAGCAUUUAUUGUAUGAUGAAUUUCAUGUCAAUACAUUAUUUUUAAAAUAAAGGGGCAUAAAUGACAAAAACAAAAGCCACUGUGAGAUCAAGGAAGAUAUGGACUGAAAAGUUUCCAUGUGCUUUAAAGAGAAGAGAUCUGUUGGUGGUGUAGUAGGAAGAGGCCAGAUUGCAGUGGGUUGAAGAGUGAGUAGGCUGUUGCGAAGUGGAGACAUUAAGCAUUGAAUCUGAAGAAAUUUGGCUGUAAAGACAAAGAAGAAAGGAGUUAUGUGGUAGAAAGUGGCAGGCUGGAGUUAUGCGGCUCACUUUCUAGCCAGAAGGAGGGAGACUGAAUGGAGGCACAUUGUAUCUGGGUCUCAAAUGCAUCUUAGAAGAUACGUUAUUUGAUGUUUGCUUCUCUUACGAAGAACUAAGUCUGAUAGAACAAUGAAGGUUAAGUCCAACCCUGCUGGACCUGGUAUACAUUUUGAGUAGCAAGACAAUAUGUACACUCAACACAGCUCUCUGCUGCUGCUACUAGAGAAUACCUUUCUCUGUGCUACCUGUGGUAGGUGAACAAAUAUGUGUAUGUGUGUGCAUUUGUGUAUGUGUGUAAGGAUGCAAGUAAGAGAAAAUUAUGAUUUAUUCCAGGUUUGGCUUCCAAGGUAAGUGCUAG
rnacentral:lncRNA from 1 species